UUCGUUUAUUUCCGCCCUUCCAAACCACCCCGUGUUCAUGCUCAACCCUAAUUCGAUCCAGCCCUGAUUCGACCCAAUCUCCUCUCGUGCCACACCCUACCUCUCCUCUACUUAUACACAGUCCCGUCAAUUUAUCCCUCCCUUUCUUGUUGUCGAUUCGAUUGGAAUCGGCUCCUGAAAUCGGGGCGGCGAGCUGUGGAAGCUCGGCCACGGCGGAAGAUCACAAGAGCACGUCGCGAUCAAGACGCGUCCAAUCAAACGAGCACUCGAGCAGAUCAAAUCAAAUCCUUCCCGAUUUCUUUCAAACUCUGAUCUGGUCUUUGGGGCCAUCCCCUGAUCUUCCGUCUCUGGCCUCCCGCCGUCUUGCGUCACCGCCCUGUUUGGGGGCAGAUCGAUGGCCGCGGUGUCCGUCCAGAUCGAUGGGCGACGGCAUCUGUCUUUCGGGGCCUUCUUCGGCUUCAGGCAGGUGGUGCUGGCACACCCGGCUGAGAUGGCGCCGAAGGCUGGAGACGCGCUGCACCGUCGGCUGGUGAAGGAGACUCGGCGCGCCGUGGAUUUCGUCGUCUGAAGCCAGAGCGCCUCGCGACCGAGGCUAUUGCCCGUCGUCCUCACCUCCCUCUGACAAGGCCAUCCUGGAGACUGGAGUUGGUCCACAACCCGGUGUCCUCUGCAGGUAACGACGAGAAGUCAACUCGAUUCAUGAGGCCAAGGAGCUCUGCUUGAAAGGACUAAUUGCGCCUCUCUCUCUCUGCACCAAAUUUGCCAGUCGAAUUGGUCAGUAACAUACGACGCGCAAGGAAUUGGAGUCCGGUGCUCUGGCCAUGCCUGCUGGAUGUUGUGCAAUGCUAUUCGUCCAGGACCAGGGCUAACCGCGCCUCUCUCUAUGCACCAAAUUUGCCAGUCUAGGCAAUGCCGGAAAUUCACAGGAAGGUAGUGUUUGAGGUUCUGGACAAUUGAGGAUCUCUUCGUUUGCCUGCUUUUCUUGGGGUGACCAAUUUCUUUCUGAAUUAAAUGAAGGACUGGAUUAUUUCCUUGACCUUUUUGCAGGCAUAUAUUAGUACAGGUCUUGUGGUCCUGCUUUUGGCAUCUGGGCAGCAAAUAUAGAUCUAAUAUUUGCCCCCUACAACUUGUUUUUGUCAGAUUAUCAUUGCUGACUCUUUGUCCGUGAAUUCAUCAUUAUUAUGAUGGAUAUAUUGGCUUCUUUCAUAUGAUUUAUCUAUGAACAAUUAGAACCGCGAAAACAGAUGCUGCAGUGUAAAUAUGAAGCUAUCAGACUACUGACGGAGAGGAAAUUAUUAUACUUGAUUUCUUUCUGGAUUUUCAGAGUUUGAAGACUUAUUUCAAAUCCAGGCAUUAUUGAAAGUGACCUGGAGUCUGACACGAUCUAUACUAUUUUAUUCCAAUCCAGGUAUCAUUAUAAUUGACCUGGAAACUUUUGAUGCAGCAUAACAAGUUUUGGAAGGAAUUUGAUAUCAUAUAACAAGCUUGAAUCUGCAAAAUACCUGCAAGGCAUAAACCUAGAGGCCCUCCAUCUUCUAUCAUCAUUCAUCAGAUAAAACCUCAUAGUUUACCGUACCUGGUGUCCAUUGCUGAAUUUUAUCAAUGCUUGAAGCUCUUGUUGUAGUUUGCUAUAUUGGUGCGCAGACUGCAAGAUUUGAAUGCUUAAUUUGCUGACUGAAUAUGCAACGUUGAUUAGUAUACUGAGGUUGAGUAAGGACUGCAUGAUUAUGAUCCUGAUUAGCUUACAGCUAUUUGACAAUGGAAAACCACACUUGCAGAUAACUAAAGUUGAUAACAAAGGAGCAGCACUUCAUGGUUUUUAUUUUUGCUGGGAGAACUAUGCUAACUAUGCUUGAAUUCAGGAGAGUGCAUUCCACUAUAAAUUUUACUAUUGUUGUGAUCUUUCCGAAAUCUUGGACUUGAACCAAAAAAAUAGGUAUGACUAGAGGAGAUGAGCGGAGUCAGUCUUCUUCUUAGAGAAGGCCAAUUUCGGCUCCCACUCUUGCCGUUGAUGAAAACAAGCAGUGGCCUGGAAAUCUUGUGGUAAUUGGCAAACCUCAACGCUCAAGAUCAAUGUAUUUGCUUGACAAACGUUCUAGAUAACAUGGAGCUUGGCAGCUUAUACUUCUUAUUAUUUGCGUAAAUCGAUCAUGUGUAUAGGGAGGAAGCACUAAAGCACUCAAUGCUCUGAUAUCUAACUGUAAUGUGCUAACUGAAUGUGCCAUGUUUAUUAGAGUACUGAGGUUGAGCAAGGACUGCCUUCUUAUCUAGAAGAUCCUGAUUAGCUUACAGCUAUUUGACGAUGGAAAAUCAGACUUAACUAAGUUGACAAUAAAGUAGCAGCAAUUCAUGUAUUUUAUUUUUGUGGA